UACGGCGGGUGCAAGCGUUAUCCGGCUUCACUGGGCUUACAGGGUGCGUAGGUGGAUUGGAAAGUCAGUGGUGAAAUCUCCGGGCUUAACCCGGAAACUGCCAUUGAUACUAUCAAUCUUGAAUACCGUGGAGGUCAGCGGAAUAUGUCAUGUAGCGGUGAAAUGCAUAGAUAUGACAUAGAACAACAAUUGCGAAGGCAGCUGGCUAGACGAAUAUUGACACUGAGGCACGAAAGCGUGGGGAUCAAACAGG
rnacentral:rRNA from 1 species